GACGAACGCUGGCGGCAUGCCUAACACAUGCAAGUCGAGCGAGCUGAUCUCUUCGGAGAAAAGCUAGCGGCGGACGGGUGAGUAACACGUGGGCAACCUGCCUCAUAGAGUGGAAUAGCCUUCCGAAAGGGAGAUUAAUACCGCAUAAGAUUGUAACUUCGCAUGAAGAAGCAAUUAAAGGAGCAAUCCGCUAUGAGAUGGGCCCGCGGCGCAUUAGCUAGUUGGUGAGGUAACGGCUCACCAAGGCGACGAUGCGUAGCCGACCUGAGAGGGUGAGCGGCCACAUUGGGACUGAGACACGGCCCAGACUCCUACGGGAGGCAGAAGUGGGGAAUAUUGCACAAUGGGCGAAAGCCUGAUGCAGCAAUGCCGCGUGAGUGAUGACGGCCUUCGGGUUGUAAAGCUCUGUCUUCGGGGACGAUAAUUACGGUACCCGAGGAGGAAGCCACGGCUAACUACGUGCCAGCAGCCGCCGUAA
rnacentral:rRNA from 1 species